GGGCCCGCACAAGCGGUGGAUGAUGUGGAUUAAUUCGAUGCAACGCGAAGAACCUUACCUACCCUUGACAUGCCAGGAACCCUGCUGAGAGGUGGGGGUGCCCGAAAGGGAAUCUGGACACAGGUGCUGCAUGGCUGUCGUCAGCUCGUGUCGUGAGAUGUUGGGUUAAGUCCCGCAACGAGCGCAACCCUUGCCAUUAGUUGCUACGAAAGGGCACUCUAAUGGGACUGCCGGUGACAAACCGGAGGAAGGUGGGGAUGACGUCAAGUCCUCAUGGCCCUUAUGGGUAGGGCUUCACACGUCAUACAAUGGUCGGUACAGAGGGUUGCCAACCCGCGAGGGGGAGCCAAUCCCACAAAGCCGAUCGUAGUCCGGAUCGCAGUCUGCAACUCGACUGCGUGAAGUCGGAAUCGCUAGUAAUCGCGGAUCAGCAUGUCGCGGUGAAUACGUUCCCGGGCCUU
rnacentral:rRNA from 1 species